rnacentral:rRNA from 1 species
AUUGAACGCUGGCGGCAUGCUUUACACAUGCAAGUCGAACGGCAGGGCGGGCUUCGGCUUGGGGGCGAGUGGGGAACGGGGGAGUAAAACAUCGGAAUGUGCCCAGCAGUGGGGGAUAGCACGGCGAAAGCCGGAUUAAUACCGCAUACGACGUGCGGGUGAAAGCGGGGGAUCUUCGGAACUCGCGCUAUUGGAGGGGCGGAUGGCAGGUUAGUUAGUUGGUGGGGUAAAGGCCUACCAAGGCGACGAUUUGUAGCUGGUCUGAGAGGACGACCAGCCACACUGGGACUGAGCCACGGCCCAUACUCCUACGGGAGGCAGCAGUGGGGAAUUUUGGACAAUGGGCGAAAGCCUGAUCCAGCAAUGCCGCGUGUGUGAUGAAGGCCUUCGGUUUGUAAAGCACUUUUGGCGGGAACGAAAAGGACUGUGCCAAUACCACGGUUCGAUGACGGUACCCGCAGAAUAAGCACCGGCUAACUACGUG